rnacentral:rRNA from 1 species
GACGAACGCUGGCGGCGUGCUUAACACAUGCAAGUCGAACGGAAAGGCCCUGCUUUUGUGGGGUGCUCGAGUGGCGAACGGGUGAGUAACACGUGAGUAACCUGCCCUUGACUUUGGGAUAACUUCAGGAAACUGGGGCUAAUACCGGAUAGGAGCUCCUGCUGCAUGGUGGGGGUUGGAAAGUUUCGGCGGUUGGGGAUGGACUCGCGGCUUAUCAGCUUGUUGGUGGGGUAGUGGCUUACCAAGGCUUUGACGGGUAGCCGGCCUGAGAGGGUGACCGGCCACAUUGGGACUGAGAUACGGCCCAGACUCCUACGGGAGGCAGCAGUGGGGAAUAUUGCACAAUGGGCGGAAGCCUGAUGCAGCAACGCCGCGUGCGGGAUGACGGCCUUCGGGUUGUAAACCGCUUUCGCCUGUGACGAAGCGUGAGUGACGGUAAUGGGUAAAGAAGCACCGGCUAACUACGUGCCAGCAGCCGCGGUGAUACGUAGGGUGCGAGCGUUGUCCGGAUUUAUUGGGCGUAAAGGGCUCGUAGGUGGUUGAUCGCGUCGGAAGUGUAAUCUUGGGGCUUAACCCUGAGCGUGCUUUCGAUACGGGUUGACUUGAGGAAGGUAGGGGAGAAUGGAAUUCCUGGUGGAGCGGUGGAAUGCGCAGAUAUCAGGAGGAACACCAGUGGCGAAGACGGUUCUCUGGGCCUUUCCUGACGCUGAGGAGCGAAAGCGUGGGGAGCGAACAGGCUUAGAUACCCUGGUAGUCCACGCUGUAAACGGUGGGUACUAGGUGUGGGGUCCAUUCCACGGGUUCCGUGCCGUAGCUAACGCUUUAAGUACCCCGCCUGGGGAGUACGGCCGCAAGGCUAAAACUCAAAGGAAUUGACGGGGCCCCGCACAAGCGGCGGAGCAUGCGGAUUAAUUCGAUGCAACGCGUAGAACCUUACCUGGGUUUGACAUGGAUCGGGAGUGCUCAGAGAUGGGUGUGCCUCUUUUGGGGUCGGUUCACAGGUGGUGCAUGGCUGUCGUCAGCUCGUGUCGUGAGAUGUUGGGUUAAGUCCCGCAACGAGCGCAACCCUUGUUCACUGUUGCCAGCACGUUAUGGUGGGGACUCAGUGGAGACCGCCGGGGUCAACUCGGAGGAAGGUGGGGAUGACGUCAAGUCAUCAUGCCCCUUAUGUCCAGGGCUUCACGCAUGCUACAAUGGCUGGUACAGAGAGUGGCGAGCCUGUGAGGGUGUGCGAAUCUCGGAAAGCCGGUCUCAGUUCGGAUUGGGGUCUGCAACUCGACCUCAUGAAGUCGGAGUCGCUAGUAAUCGCAGAUCAGCAACGCUGCGGUGAAUACGUUCCCGGGGCU